rnacentral:rRNA from 1 species
UACGUAGGGGGCAAGCGUUGUCCGGAAUCAUUGGGCGUAAAGGGCGUGUAGGCGGUUUUUUAAGUCAGAUGUGAAAGUUCGGGGCUCAACCCCGGAAUUGCAUUUGAAACUGGGAGACUUGAGUACUGGAGAGGUAAGUGGAAUUCCUAGUGUAGCGGUGAAAUGCGUAGAUAUUAGGAGGAACACCAGUGGCGAAGGCGACUUACUGGACAGAUACUGACGCUGAGGCGCGAAAGCGUGGGGAGCAAACAGG